rnacentral:rRNA from 1 species
GACGAACGCUGGCGGCGUGCUUAACACAUGCAAGUCGAACGGAAAGGCCCUGCUUUUGUGGGGUGCUCGAGUGGCGAACGGGUGAGUAACACGUGAGUAACCUGCCCUUGACUUUGGGAUAACUUCAGGAAACUGGGGCUAAUACCGGAUAGGAGCUCCUGCUGCAUGGUGGGGGUUGGAAAGAUUCGGCGGUUGUGGAUGGACUCGCGGCUUAUCAGCUUGUUGGUGGGGUAGUGGCUGACCCAGGCUUUGACGGGUAGCCGGCCUGAGAGGGUGACCGGCGACAUUGGGACUGAGAGACGGCCCAGACUCCUACGGGAGGCAGCGGGGGGGAGUAUUACACAAUGGGAGGAAGCCUGAUGCAGCGACGCCGCGUGCGGGAAGACGGCCUUCGGGUUGUAAACCGCUUUCGCCUGUGACGAAGCGGGAGUGACGGUAAUGGGUAAAGAAGCACCGGCUAACUACGUG